rnacentral:rRNA from 1 species
UACGUAGGCAGCGAGCGUUGUUCGGAGUUACUGGGCGUAAAGAGUGCGUAGGCGGUUUUCUAAGUUUGGUGUGAAAUCUCCCGGCUCAACUGGGAGGGUGCGCCGAAGACUGGAAGGCUUGAGUAUGGGAGAAGUAAGCGGAAUUCCUGGUGUAGCGGUGAAAUGCGUAGAUAUCAGGAGGAACACCUGCGGUGUAGACGGCUUACUGGACCAUAACUGACGCUGAGGCACGAAAGCGUGGGUAGCAAACAGG